GUGAGGAGGAUGUGUCAAUCUUCUGUGGUGGUUUUACACCUGCAAAGCCCCCAGAUUCAGUUACUCUCCAGGGUGAGUGUGUGGACUGUCACUUCUUGCCUUUUUUGCCUCAGGAGCCCAUCAGUAAAAUGAAUGUCACUGUAUCCCAUUUCAAAAUGCUCUGCACUAGCUGUUUUAGGGGUUGUUGGUAGCUGUCAAGAGUUGUUCCAGGCAGCUCUUAAAUCAGAUUAAUUUCAUUUUCAGAUGAUAAAAGGAAACAUCUUUUUAUUUCUCAGGAUAUACUUUAAUUUCUCGUUGUUUUAUUCCACCCCCUGCCAUGCCCCAUAUCUGAGCUGUCCCAGUGAACAAUAUCAGCUCUCACAUCAGAGGAUCUAAAUACAAGGCAAUCUGAACAGUAGAAGAGAAGUGAGAUGACUUUACUAUUGCCGGGAAAAAGCAGAUUUCUUUAAUGCGUUUUCUUGACGCAUUUCCAAGUUGCGUGAGAAAGCAAGGAAGCAUGAGAAAAAUGAGGAAACAUGAGAAAAAUGUUGUUUAAAUGCAUCUAGGCAUUUUUGUUUGUCAAAACUCUGUUCACUCUGUAAAUUUGACGACGAUUUCAAUAAAGUUUUUAUAAAACUGGAA